UACGUAGGGAGCAAGCGUUGUCCGGAAUCAUUGGGCGUAAAGAGCGUGUAGGCGGCCAGGUAGGUCUGCUGUGAAAACUCGAGGCUUAACCUCGAGAUGUCGGCGGAAACCAUCUGGCUAGAGUCCGGAAGAGGAGAGUGGAAUUCCUGGUGUAGCGGUGAAAUGCGCAGAUAUCAGGAAGAACACCCGUGGCGAAGGCGGCUCUCUGGGCCUGUACUGACGCUGAGGAGCGAAAGCGUGGGGAGCAAACAGG
rnacentral:rRNA from 1 species